GACAGUGCAGAGUCUCUUGGCUUACACAGGCCACUGUCUUUCUCUCUAAACAAUACCAGCCAAGUUUCCUCUGUACAACUGAAGAGCUGCAGGAACAGAAGGACAGUAACUAAAGCUUUUAAAUUUCAAUCUCCUGGUCUUAUUAGGAAAAAAAACAAUAAUUAAAAAAAAAAAAAAAAAAGAAAGAAGAAAGGAAGAAAGAAAGAAAGAAAAAAAGAAGAGAAAGAAAGAAAAGGAAAAGAAAAAAGACAUGAAAUAUAAGGAGCAUGAGGCAAAAGAUUCCAAGGAAGAAAACUAUACACGGCAGUUUGAAGCUACAGGGGCAGUCCUGCCUGUUUUUCCUCCAACCAGCUACUUUACUUCAGGCCCUUUGAAACCAGCAAUUCCCAUGGAUCAGCACUUAAAGCGGAUUUGCUGACAGAGCCGUGAAGUUGCCAGAGAUCCUCCCUGUGGCCUGAACCGAUGCCCCCGGGGAGCCCCGCACUGAGAGCCACAGACCUCCGGGUGUGACGCAGGUGCGUGAGAAGCACAGGGAAUGCGACUCCCUAUUGAUUUUACAUUAAUGUUUGACACUUAGAGUGGGGGUCAUAUUCUGGUGGCAAUUACCCUCAAGACAUGCACCAUUGUAUGAAAUAAAUGUCAGUGCUUACCCUCUGUAGAGCCGGCA
rnacentral:lncRNA from 1 species